CCUACGGGCGGCUGCAGUGGGGAAUAUUGCACAAUGGGGGGAACCCUGCUGCAGCGACGCCGCGUGAGUGCAGAAGUAUUUCGGUAUGUAAAGCUCUAUCAGCAGGAACGAGACAAGACGGUACCUGACUAAGAAUCCCCGGCUAACUACGUGCCAGCAGCCGGGGUAAUACGUAGGGGGCAAGCUUGUGCCGGAAUCACUGGGUGUAAAGGGAGCGUAGACGGCUGGGCAAGCCUGGAGUGAAAGGCGGGGGCCCAACCCCCGGACGGCUUUGGAAACUGUACGGCUGGAGUGCAGGAGAGGUAAGUGGAAUUCCUAGUGUAGCGGUGAAAUGCUUAGAUAUCACGAAGAACCCCGAUUGCGAAGGCAGCUUACUAAACUGUGACUGACAUUGAUGCUCGAAAGUGUGGGUAUCAAACAGGAUUAGAUACCCCUGUAGUC
rnacentral:rRNA from 1 species